rnacentral:rRNA from 1 species
GCAGUCGAGCGGACAGAAGGGAGCUUGCUCCCGGAUGUUAGCGGCGGACGGGUGAGUAACACGUGGGUAACCUGCCUGUAAGACUGGGAUAACUCCGGGAAACCGGAGCUAAUACCGGAUAGUUCCUUGAACCGCAUGGUUCAAGGAUGAAAGACGGUUUCGGCUGUCACUUACAGAUGGACCCGCGGCGCAUUAGCUAGUUGGUGGGGUAAUGGCUCACCAAGGCGACGAUGCGUAGCCGACCUGAGAGGGUGAUCGGCCACACUGGGACUGAGACACGGCCCAGACUCCUACGGGAGGCAGCAGUAGGGAAUCUUCCGCAAUGGACGAAAGUCUGACGGAGCAACGCCGCGUGAGUGAUGAAGGUUUUCGGAUCGUAAAGCUCUGUUGUUAGGGAAGAACAAGUGCGAGAGUAACUGCUCGCACCUUGACGGUACCUAACCAGAAAGCCACGGCUAACUACGUGCCAGCAGCCGCGGUAAUACGUAGGUGGCAAGCGUUGUCCGGAAUUAUUGGGCGUAAAGGGCUCGCAGGCGGUUUCUUAAGUCUGAUGUGAAAGCCCCCGGCUCAACCGGGGAGGGUCAUUGGAAACUGGGAAACUUGAGUGCAGAAGAGGAGAGUGGAAUUCCACGUGUAGCGGUGAAAUGCGUAGAGAUGUGGAGGAACACCAGUGGCGAAGGCGACUCUCUGGUCUGUAACUGACGCUGAGGAGCGAAAGCGUGGGGAGCGAACAGGAUUAGAUACCCUGGUAGUCCACGCCGUAAACGAUGAGUGCUAAGUGUUAGGGAUC